ACCACUUAUUUAAUGAUCUUUUAAAAUAAAUACACAUAUUAUAUUAUCACUAAUGUGUUAUAAAAUUUCUCUAUUUUUAGAAUCUAACAAAUGCAUAUUUUGAUUGGAACAUUUAUAAUAUAUAAAUGUAAAAGAGAUGAGAUAACAAGAUCUAGAUAUUUUAACUAGGGUACAGUUGGUGGCGAUCACGUCACAAGAGAGGAAAUGGACGCGAUGAUAGACGCUCGAAAGAUGUAGAAGAUGUCAUUUCUUGUUUGUCGUUUUUCUCUUAAACAAACCAGGUUUUGAAACAAUGGGCGUGGGUGCAUGUGGUGUUAACUGAUGUUGUUCGACGUGUAACUGGCUUUUACUGUUGUUAUUAGUUUAUUGUCCAGUUGGACUUGUCUCUUUGCAUAAUAGUAUCUGCAUUGUACAAGAUACUGACAUCAUGUAUAAUUAAUUUAAAAACUAAAUGGAUUCAAUGCUCUAGGAGCCACGCGCGCGCGUGUGCACACACACAUGUGUUCCAAUUAAGAAUCACGACUAUAUCAAAAUAAGAAAUAAAAUAAUAAAA
rnacentral:lncRNA from 1 species